rnacentral:lncRNA from 1 species
CUUAAGUAUACAUCACCAUAAGAGAACCUUGCUGCACUUGACUGAGAGAACUUCUGGCAGUCAGGUUUGAAGGGGACCCUCUCUUACUGGGAAUCAGCAGAACCAGCAAUACGCGUUCGUAUAACAGGUGGGUAGUACUCCAAUGAGUGCCAAGUUUUCUCGUCUUUUAGAAGGUCUUAAUAAUCAGUGGGGUGAAUAUUCUGUACUUUUCCACCAAAUCUUCUUAUCUGUGCAGCCCAGCAAAGAGUUGCAAAAGUGUUGGAUGGGACCUGCAGCUGGCCAGGC